CGCGGGAUAGAGCAGUUCGGUAGCUCGUUGGGCUCAUAACCCAAAGGUCACUGGUUCAAAUCCAGUUCCCGCAA
rnacentral:tRNA from 1 species